GAGGGUAUAGCUCAACUGAUAAAGUGCAUGCUUAUUAUGCAUGAGGUCUUGGGUUCAAUCCCCAGUACCUCCA
rnacentral:tRNA from 1 species